rnacentral:rRNA from 1 species
GACGAACGCUGGCGGCGUGCUUAACACAUGCAAGUCGAACGGAAAGGCCCUGCUCGCAGGGUACUCGAGUGGAGAACGGGUGAGUCACACGUGGGUGAUCUGCCCUGCACUUCGGGAUAAGCCUGGGUAACUGGGUCUAAUACCGGACAGGAGCCAUUUUUAGUGUGAUGGUUGGAAAGUUUUUUCGGUGUAGGGUGAGCUCGCGGCCUAUCAGCUUGUUGGUGGGGUAAUGGCCUACCAAGGCGGCGACGGGUAGCCGGCCUGAGAGGGUGGACGGCCACAGUGGGGCUGAGAUACGGCCCAGACUCCUACGGGAGGCAGCAGUGGGGAAGAUUGCACAAUGGGCGCAAGCCUGAUGCAGCGACGCCGCGUGGGGGAUGACGGCCUUCGGGUUGUAAACUCCUUUCGCUAGGGACGAAGCUUUUUGUGACGGUACCUAGAUAAGAAGCACCGGCUAACUACGUG